CACAAGCGGUGGAUGAUGUGGUUUAAUUCGAUGCAACGCGAAAAACCUUACCCACCUUUGACAUGGCAGGAAUCCUAAAGAGAUUUGGGAGUGACUCGAAAGAGAACCUGCACACAGGUGCUGCAUGGCUGUCGUCAGCUCGUGUCGUGAGAUGUUGGGUUAAGUCCCGCAACGAGCGCAACCCUUAUCAUUAGUUGCUACGCAAGGGCACUCUAAUGAGACUGCCGGUGACAAACCGGAGGAAGGUGGGGAUGACGUCAAGUCCUCAUGGCCCUUAUGGGUAGGGCUUCACACGUCAUACAAUGGUCGGUACAGAGGGUUGCCAAGCCGCGAGGCGGAGCCAAUCCCACAAAGCCGAUCGUAGUCCGGAUUGUUCUCUGCAACUCGAGAGCAUGAAGUCGGAAUCGCUAGUAAUCGCAGGUCAGCAUACUGCGGUGAAUACGUUCCCGGGUCUU
rnacentral:rRNA from 1 species